rnacentral:rRNA from 1 species
UGCCAGCCGCCGCGGUAAUACGGAGAGUGCGAGCGUUGUUCGGAAUCAUUGGGCGUAAAGGGCGUCUAGGUGGCCUUCUAAGUCAGAUGUGAAAUCCCUCGGCUCAACCGAGGACGUGCAUUUGAAACUGGAAGGCUUGAGUACUGGAGGGGGCAGCGGAAUUCUCGGUGUAGAGGUGAAAUUCGUAGAUAUCGGGAGGAACACCAGCGGCGAAGGCGGCUGUCUGGCCAGAUACUGACACUGAAGCGCGAAAGCGUGGGGAGCAAACAGGAUUAGAUA